rnacentral:rRNA from 1 species
CCGCUCGGACUACCACCCAACCCACUCCGAUGUCCCUCUCCCUCCUCCGGCCGCCGCACCACUUCCUCAACUGAACGGGAGUACCUCCGCCGCGGUAGCCGGUCCCCGCAGUAAACGAGCAGCCUGUGGCAGGCUCGAGCAGAGUGGGAGUGUCGUUGCUGGUUGUUGAGUUCAUCCUUCCCACUCCCGGGUAGUUCUAGAUCGGGUCCCGCACGAGGGACCGCGGGCGUGUAUCUCCUGACCGGAGACCAGCGGCCAACCAGGAGGAGAAGAGGGGAGCACGGUGGCCGGAGGUGGAGGAGGUAGGGAGCUAAGUCGUUUCCGCUGCCCCUAGUUCUUGGCCCCGCCGUGUGUAGUAGGAGGGCAAAGAGGAUGGUGGCUGGGAUCUCUACCGUCGCCGUUCCUCAACUCGGUCCACUGAGCUACUCCACCAGGUACGACUCCUUAUCCCGCAGGUAUACCGAACAAAAGGAAAACUAAAAGGAGCGAAUGGACUAGACUAAAACACCAGUUUUGUUCCCGACUGAGGCACAGACCAGACUAAACGACUAAAAGGAGAAGGUCGAGGACAACUACCGGAACAACACCAACGUGGUACCAGGCACCCCUUGUUCUUGUGGUGAUGAUGUUGGGUUCAGACCUGUAUCGAAAUCGUCCAAUGUAAUAGUUUAAACCUUCUUUUUUUAGGAUCGUUUGGUCGAUGUCGGAUGUCCUAGAUCCUUGUUUCCAUUGGUUAGUAAUUCUUAUUCCCCUUUCUUUACUGUUCCGUAUUAUUUGUAUGUGUUUUAAUAUUAGAUUAAUAACUUUCGACUUGAUGGUAAAAUCUGUCCUAUUGUUCGCAGAUUAACCAGCUUGUUGUGACUUUCCCCGGAUUGGUCGAAUUACGUUCUUUACAUUUGAAACAACUCGGUAUGUAUCAAUGUGUAAAAUUACCGUCCUAGUACCAAGUUCGUUUAUACUUAGAUCACCGGUGAAGGGGAACCGUUCGUCAGCUUUAUCUGAGUAUACCAAAAGGAACUGUACACACAGUAGUAUCUACUCAGUCAUUUCGUACGACGUCAGUCGAUCGGCGUUUACUUCAUUUUUUAUUUACAUUUUUUCUGGUUUAUACAUCACACGUUGGUUUAUCUACAUGUUUAAUUUAUGCGUCAGUGUAUCUCUACAGUACUAGUUGUCUAAAAAGAUUGGUUAAUUGUAGAGAGUAAUUAACACUCUUGGUUCGGUUACUUUUACCCGUACUUAGCCAGAACAGUUUUCAGAUGAUAAGUCACGAACGUAUACAGUCUAACGACUACAAGUGUUUUGACGUACAUGGAAAACGGUUGUUUUAACAGCUACUUAACGUCUAAAUCUUUUAAUCAAACCGUAUCGAGUCUUGAUAAACGGAACUGAGUUUAGUUCCAACAAGCUAUAGUACUUUAUUCGUUGUACGGAGAACACUUUGGUAUAAAAUUUAAACGUUAAACGUUUGACCCAAAAACAAAGAGCGUGAAAAAGAAAAUUUUGUAGUGGUCUUGAAUCCCAGUGUUAAUUAUCAUUCCACGUUAGAGUCAGUAAUUCACUGUAUGAAGUCAAAUCUGAAACGUCUCGUUCUCGACAAAUAGUUAUAAAAGGCAAUGUUACGGACGUAUACAUAUGUAUUCAAGAAUACAAAAGUCUUGUGAGAUCGAUCCGAAUUGAUAAAGACAACUGUUUAGUGUAAGAAUAGAAUUUUAUGAUAUUCUUCCGAUCGGUUGAACCGGAGUGUUGCGAGGGGGUCAAACCUCGAAGUAAACGACAAUCUAGAACAAGUAAAACCAGUUGACGCGACCAAGUCGGCAAGCUAAGAACGUAGAACAAAACUGAAACGCAAACAAAAAGAACCGGGUACUGACCACCCCGCAAACCGCAACGAUAACCGACCCACUUCGCAAUAGACCCACGCUUGAUUGGACAGGAACGUGCGGCGCGACGCACACUACGUAGCAAGCGCCACCAACGCUCCACUACCUGACUGCGCACGUAUAGACACCGAUGGAAACGCGUGAUACUGACCACCUGAUUCAACCUACAGCCAGGGUAACCAGACACGGAACACUCUCUACCCGACGAAAAUAGUACACUGAAAAACAGGACGCUCACGCUUACGCAGAGCAGAUCCCCUCUCUCUCCCUCUACACGACGGCUGUGCCAGCACGGACGGAAAGAAGUGAUACUGGCCACCCUGUUCAACCUACGACCAGGAUGUGCAGCCACCCAACCGAACUAAGACAAGCACAGCAACUCGAAUAGACCCCAAUCUGUCUCUUUGUAAGAAAAAUAACAAAGGUCUCUAGUUCUAUAGCGUUUGGUAAGUACCCUAAGUUUCCCUAUACGUUGUAUACACCACGGAAUACGUUCGAUUCGGCCCAAUAACUUCAUUAACAAGAAGCCCAUAAAGAAAUUAAAAAGCAUUAUACUACAGCUCUAUUGGUACCACUGAGGAGAUAUCACAAACCAAAAGAAGCUUUAUAAAAGUAAAACGGUUAAAGAAAAUAGCGAGUAAAAAACCCUCAUGAGUCGACUAAACAUACUGUGGGAAUUAUUUCAAAAAAUUCUGGAUGUAAGUCAGUCAGUAGGUAACCGUGAAAUCAGGACACUUCACGGAUAUAAUAAUCAGUUUUAGAGUAAGGCAGCGUUAUGGUGUAAUCGUAGUCAAGUUUCGAACCAAAUCAGAACUUACAUUGCAUACAAAAAAUAGAAAUAUUAUAAAUAAUACAACGAUUAAACGUCACGAAUCAGCAGUGUACUUGUACUACUUGCACUUAUCUGUUGCUUUCUUGCCUUCUUCCCCUAUUUCAAGGAACGCAGCUACGUACAUGGGUAAGCCGGUCGGUAUAGCAGUAAGAAGGGGUUUCUAGAAUAGGUAUAUAUCCGCGGUAUAAUCACAAAGAAUAAUAGAUGGAACUACGGUAUGAUUAAAGACACUAAGGUUUUAACGACCGUGGUGAAGGACAACGGACAACCACGUUCCUGGGUGCGGAAGGUAGACUCUUUACAUUUCCUACCUAGUUAACCGUAACAGUCGAGUACAAAUCAAGAAACAGAGAGUCUGCUGUACGUAGAGAGUUGUGUUAGGAUCCAAUUACUUGACGAUUUCGAUGUUACAUCUACGUAAUACUGAAAUAAAAGAUCCAUGAUUGAAGUCUACAAGUUAAACAAUGGACAUGGUUACAUAGGAAUCCUAUAACUGAAAUCUAUUUGUUAGACGACGUAUGAUUACAUAUAAAAAUGUGUUCGAUAGGAGUUACAAACAAAGCGAAACCGCAAGGGUUGUAGUGUAUCAUUACGAACGUCGAAGAAACCCUUCCACCGUGAUUAUGUAUAUAAGUUGAAUGAGUUCAAGUUUUUGACGAGGAGAACUGAACAAAGUCGAAACACCCACUCACUUACGUACUACUACCGGCGAACCACAAGCGUAUUAUGUUCCCUUCCUCGACCACUCGGUUGAGAGUACAUGAAGUGUACUCGACUUUCUCCGGUUCACGAUUAGCGUUACAUACGAUUUAGAAUUCGUAAGUAGUCAUAAAAACGAGACCAGAUACGGUCGACUGAGAGGGUACAACCACAGCAUUGAUAGUCUACAACACACACAAACUUUGAAAUACUUAAGACCUUAAAAGAAACAUUACCAUAGCACUUUAAUCACACCGAGACACAGUAACACAAAACAUUACAAACGGAAAAUAAGUUGUAAUCGGCUUCGUUCUCUAAGACUUCUUCUCUCAGUAUCUAUGAGAAAGGGGUAUGGGCAGUAGUUUAAUCACACGUAGUUUGACUUCAUAAACACCAAAUACAUUAAAACAUCAAUGUUACACG